GACGAACGCUGGCGGCGUGCCUAAUACAUGCAAGUAGAACGCUGAAGGAGGAGCUUGCUUCUCUGGAUGAGUUGCGAACGGGUGAGUAACGCGUAGGUAACCUGCCUGGUAGCGGGGGAUAACUAUUGGAAACGAUAGCUAAUACCGCAUAAUAGCAGUUGUUGCAUGACAACUGUUUGAAAGGUGCAAUUGCACCACUACCAGAUGGACCUGCGUUGUAUUAGCUAGUUGGUGGGGUAACGGCUCACCAAGGCGACGAUACAUAGCCGACCUGAGAGGGUGAUCGGCCACACUGGGACUGAGACACGGCCCAGACUCCUACGGGAGGCAGCAGUAGGGAAUCUUCGGCAAUGGACGGAAGUCUGACCGAGCAACGCCGCGUGAGUGAAGAAGGUUUUCGGAUCGUAAAGCUCUGUUGUAAGAGAAGAACGAGUGUGAGAGUGGAAAGUUCACACUGUGACGGUAUCUUACCGGAAAGGGACGGCUAACUACGUG
rnacentral:rRNA from 1 species